rnacentral:lncRNA from 1 species
ACAGUAUUAUGGAAUGAAGAGAUCAGAAGAUGUGGAGUGGUAUAGACAUUGCAGAAAAUAUGAGGGAAGCAAGGAUGAGGUGGUAAGACACACGAUAAGAGGAAAUGCAGGAGAAACGAUCGAAGAUAUGGAAUGAAGAGAUCAGGUGGGGUGGUAGACAUUCCAGAGAAGACGAGGGAAGCAAGGGGAAGGUGGUAUGGACCCAUGAUAGGACGAGAUGCGGAAGAGCUGGUCGAAGAUAUCAUGGAAUGAAGAGAUCAGAAGAUGUGUGGUGGUAGACAUUGCAGAGAAGGCGAGGGAAGCAAGGAUAAGGUUGUAUGGACACAUAAUAAGAAGGAAUGAAGGAGAUCUAGUUAGAAAUACUAUGGAAUGAAGAGAUCAGAAGAUGCGGAGUGGUAGACAUUGAAGGGAAGGCAAGAGAAGCAAGGAUGAGGUGGUAUGGACACAUAGUAAGACGAGAUGCAGGAAAGCGAGUUGAAAGAUAUUAUGGAAUGAAGAGAUCAGAAGAAGUGGGAUGGUAGGAGAGAAGGCGAGGGAAGCAAGGAUAAGGUUGUAUGGACACAUAAUAAGAAGGAAUGAAGGAGAUCUAGUUAGAAAUACUAUGGAAUGAAGAGAUCAGAAGAUGCGGAGUGGUAGACAUUGAAGGGAAGGCAAGAGAAGCAAGGAUGAGGUGGUAUGGACACAUAGUAAGACGAGAUGCAGGAAAGCGAGUUGAAAGAUAUUAUGGAAUGAAGAGAUCAGAAGAAGUGGGAUGGUAGGAGAGAAGGCGAGGGAAGCAAGGAUAAGGUUGUAUGGACACAUAAUAAGAAGGAAUGAAGGAGAUCUAGUUAGAAAUACUAUGGAAUGAAGAGAUCAGAAGAUGCGGAGUGGUAGACAUUGAAGGGAAGGCAAGAGAAGCAAGGAUGAGGUGGUAUGGACACAUAGUAAGACGAGAUGCAGGAAAGCGAGUUGAAAGAUAUUAUGGAAUGAAGAGAUCAGAAGAAGUGGGAUGGUAGGAGAGAAGGCGAGGGAAGCAAGGAUAAGGUUGUAUGGACACAUAAUAAGAAGGAAUGAAGGAGAUCUAGUUAGAAAUACUAUGGAAUGAAGAGAUCAGAAGAUGCGGAGUGGUAGACAUUGAAGGGAAGGCAAGAGAAGCAAGGAUGAGGUGGUAUGGACACAUAGUAAGACGAGAUGCAGGAAAGCGAGUUGAAAGAUAUUAUGGAAUGAAGAGAUCAGAAGAAGUGGGAUGGUAGGAGAGAAGGCGAGGGAAGCAAGGAUAAGGUUGUAUGGACACAUAAUAAGAAGGAAUGAAGGAGAUCUAGUUAGAAAUACUAUGGAAUGAAGAGAUCAGAAGAUGCGGAGUGGUAGACAUUGAAGGGAAGGCAAGAGAAGCAAGGAUGAGGUGGUAUGGACACAUAGUAAGACGAGAUGCAGGAAAGCGAGUUGAAAGAUAUUAUGGAAUGAAGAGAUCAGAAGAAGUGGGAUGGUAGGAGAGAAGGCGAGGGAAGCAAGGAUAAGGUUGUAUGGACACAUAAUAAGAAGGAAUGAAGGAGAUCUAGUUAGAAAUACUAUGGAAUGAAGAGAUCAGAAGAUGCGGAGUGGUAGACAUUGAAGGGAAGGCAAGAGAAGCAAGGAUGAGGUGGUAUGGACACAUAGUAAGACGAGAUGCAGGAAAGCCAGUUGAAAGAUAUUAUGGAAUGAAGAGAUCAGAAGAAGUGGGAUGGUAGGAGAGAAGGUGAGGGAAGCAAGGCAGAUAUGGUAUAUCCACGUCAAAAAGAAGUGAUGAAAGAGAACCUGUCAGAAAAUAUGGAACUGACGAACUGAUAGGUGGCUGUGUAAAAAAAGAUGUAACAAUGAUAUACAUGAGAAGCAACAAAAACAAUGGAGGUUAAGAGCCCAAGCAGCCGACCCCGCGGCCGAAUCAGUCUUGGACUCUUGCUUCGUAAAAGAAGAACAAGGAUUAACAUCGGUUGCUAUACUUACUGUAUAUUGAUAUCAGCAUUCGCACUGCCUUGUACUUCACUGAUUGUAAGCUCAGAAAUACGAG